rnacentral:rRNA from 1 species
UACAGAGGUCCCAAGCGUUGUUCGGAUUCACUGGGCGUAAAGGGUGCGUAGGUGGUGAGGUAAGUCGGAUGUGAAAGCUCGGAGCUCAACUCCGAAAUGGCAUUGGAAACUACCUUGCUCGAGGGUUGGAGGGGGGACUGGAAUACUUGGUGUAGCAGUGAAAUGCGUAGAUAUCAAGUGGAACACCAGUGGCGAAGGCGA